UAAUAAAUCCGAUGGGAGCGGGCAUCCUGAUUUUUUCAUCGGGAUAAAGCGGAUAGCGGGGCAGGUG
rnacentral:sRNA from 1 species